rnacentral:rRNA from 1 species
AUUGAACGCUGGCGGCAGGCCUAACACAUGCAAGUCGAGCGGAGCGGCGGACGGGUGAGUAAUGCCUAGGAAUAUUCCUGGUAGUGGGGGAUAACGUCCGGAAACGGGCGCUAAUACCGCAUACUAUCAGAUUAGCCUAGGUCGGAUUAUCUAGGUGGUGGGGUAAAGGCCUACCAAGGCGACGAUCCGUAAAUGGUCUGAGAGGAUGAUCAGUAACACUGGAACGGAGACACGGUCCAGACGCCUACGUGAGGCAGCGGUGGGGAAUAUUGGAAAAUGGGCGAAAGCCUGAUUCAGCCAUGACGCGUGUGUGAAGAUGGGCUUCGGAUUGUAAAGCACGUUAAGUUGGGAGGCGUUACCAACAGAAUAAGCACCGGCUAAAUUCGGGCCAGCAGCCGCGGUAAUAC